GAGCUGUGUGCGGUGCCGCCGCAAGUCGUACACUGGGGACCGGGGUUCAGGUCUUACUAACGCGGCAGAAACCUCGCCUCCAGACUCGGGCCGCUCCGUACCUGCGGGUGCGAGCACCUUGCUGCGAGCCGUUUUCUCCUAGACCGUGGAGCCAGGCCAGAUAACCCGCAUCCUAUCCGCCCUGCGCAUUUCGCCAGGGACAGAAACAGGUAUAGGCAUCAGUGAUAAACGCUAUGCAGAAAACGAAGCAAGAGUAUGCUGGCAGGCGUUUUUAACCUUUUGGUUCUGUGAUGUGCAGACGGUUUGCAGUACGGUCAGACAUGGAGGAUUACAACAACAACCUAUGGUGAAACUACCCCUGCUUUGCUUUGGAAGUCUUCUUUCGUGUCUGUAGUUGUGCUGUCCUGGCUGUCCGGGUGUCAUGAGCCAGUUCAGGAUGUUUACCUUUCGUGAUCAUUUUGACUUGAGGAAGAGCCAGAAGUUGCACGGUCCCACAUGCAUGGAGAAGCUGAGUAAAAACAUUUUAUUUUUUUGAAAUGAAAUGAGUUGAAUGGAUUACACACAAGGUAUAUACUAAGUUGAUUGGCCUUUACAGUAAAGGAGAUCGGAAUAGUCUAGUAUUACUGGUUAUUUUUCUUAUUUUGUCCAGCCGUCAUUGUGGUAAGCAAGCACGUGAUACAAUCACUUUUUUAUGGGUUAGAUAAUAAGAGCCG
rnacentral:lncRNA from 1 species